CAGGGCUUAGGCAGCAGGCUUAGUGAUAGGUAGCGGAGAAAAGCAACUUACAUCACAGUGACAGUGUCAAGAUGAAGGAGCACAAAAAUCAAACUUCAAACAGGAAGAGACACAGCAGGACAGGCACAGAAAGAGUGGACAACUCUACAAGAAUCAGCCAGGGGGAAAAACAGGGAAAAGAAAAGAGUGAAGUCACAAAGCUCAGGUGUGCGCAUUGAGGGAAGGACUGACUCAGGACUUGGAGGAAACAACAAAUUAAAAACAGACCUGAAUCUAGAAGUAAUACCUUUGCAUAUUUUGGCUGGAGUAAGAUACAAAUAUCUCCAUGCAUUUCCUGUGUACACUAAAAAAAGCUUCCAUACAGACUCUCUAACAACUGGAGAACCAAUGCUUCUUGUGCAGCCAAUGACACUCACUGAAUACACCUACAGGAGAGGAUGAAGGUACAGAAAGUGUGCAGGAUGCAUGCUUGCAACUAAACAUAACAGAAAGCUUCCCUUUGAUGACAGAGGAGCUCUGGAAGCCAUAAAG
ensembl:lncRNA